AGUAGUCAUAUGCUUGUCUCAAAGAUUAAGCCAUGCAGGUGCAAGUACGAUCGAUACAAAGAGAAACUGCGAAUGGCUCAUUAGAUCAGUUAUAAUUUUCUGGAUCGUACGAUCCCUACGUGGAUAACUGUGGUAAUUCUAGAGCUAAUACAUGCAACGAAGCUCCGACUUCGGUCGGAGCGCUUUUAUUAGUUGAAACCACCGAGCCUCGUGCUCGUCGAUGGUGACUCUGGAUAACGCUGCUGAUCGCUAGGUCUGUGACCAGCGACAAAUCCAAAAAGUAUCUGCCUUAUCAGCUAGUAGGUGGUCGACCUGACCACCUAGGCUACCACGGGUAGCGGGGAAUCAUGGGUUUGAUUCCGGAGAGGGAGCAUGAGAAACGGCUACCACGUCCAAGGAAGGCAGCAGGCACGCAACUUACCCAUUCCCGACACGGGGAGGUAGUGACGAAAAAUACCAAUACGGGACUCUGUCGAGGCUCCGGCAUUGGAAUGAGUACACUUUAAAUCCUUUGCCAAGGAUCCAUUGGAGGGCAAG
rnacentral:rRNA from 1 species